GCGCGCUGCGCCCCUGCUGAGCGGCGCGGAGCUACCACGCCCUGCCAGACUCGCCCUUGGGUCCCUGUCUGACGAGCUCUAGGCAAUCUGCCCUCGUUCGGGACACAACCAUCGGUCUCACCCCUCAGUUUCUGCCAGAGAAAAAGGAAAAGUCACCGAGAGGCCUGACCCUGACGGGUGGGGGAGAUGCGCGUGCGGAGUAGCGGGAAGCGACUGAGGAGCGGGGAAUGGGCAGCAUUUGAAUGGAUGCGGGUGCCGCUGGCACCCGGGAAGACGCUGGGGGCCGGCGCUGUAGAGCCGGGCAUGGGCUGGGAUGUGUUUGGAUUCCAAUCCGGGCCUGACACCAGUUCAGUGACCUCGGGAAGUUCCCCAACCCUCCGGGCCUGUUUCCUCCCUCUGAAGUGGCGACAGUAGUAGAACCGACCUCGUAGGCUCAUCGGGAGGUCCUGAUGGGAGAACCCAUGCAACUUGCCACCAUAGAGCCAGGCCCGCGGCGGUUGGCGCCUGGUGGGUAUUAAAGACGAGUCGGGAAAGAAGAGCAGGUUGAUAGACUGGAUGCUGCUAUGGUAAUCUGCCUCAGGAAAAUGCCGGACUGUUGUUUGCAAGCUGGUUAAGUGAGCAAAUCUUGGGAAGAUUUCAAGCACACCAACAUGGCACAUGUAUACAUAUGUAACAAACCUGCACAUUGUGCACAUGUACCCUAAAACUUAAAGUGUAACAAUAAUAAAAUUUUUUUAAAAAAAAAAAAAAAAAAAA
rnacentral:lncRNA from 1 species